GUUUUUAUCUAAAGAAUUGAUAAUAAUAGCAAACGACCACAUUAAUGUAUGUAUUACGAGUUAUCAGAGGUUUGAAAGUCUGUUCUUCGAAUUAGAUUUGUUUCUACAUUACACGUUACAUACUUGUUAUUGCAAACUUGUUUCUUUAUAAUUUGUAGGAUUAUUUCCAUCUAAGAAAUAUGGCGUUCAUGAGUAAUUUGACAAUUCAAAUAAACAGUACUCGGAAUGAGACGGCGACCAACGACACACUUCAAUCUCAGGUAUUUAUGAUUUUUAAAGUCAAACAAGUAAUACUGCAAUCUUAACCAUUAAAAAAUGAAAACAACACUAUAUAAAUUGCAUGCGUUUGAUUCAGUUCUAUUGAUUUAACAUUAUAUAAAAUAAAAUAUAUCAGUAAACGUAUUGUUUUAUUUGAAGUUUUCUUAAUGUUUUUUUUUUGUUUUUUUUUGGGGUGGUAAGGAGGGGGGGGGGGGUAAGUUGGUGCUUUUGCUAAUUGAACAUUGACUAUAGGCCUCGGAUCGUUUGAGAGUGUGCUGCUUCAUUACAGCCUAAUGACGGCCAUACGGUGACAAACCGUUCCUUACAUGCACGACAUGUGUCUUAUAAGCGAUUUUGAUCUCAUUAGCACACAGUGCGUUGUCAUAGAAGGAGAGAAGUCUGACUUCAUAAAUGUAGAGUCGGUAGUCCCACAUGUCAUAAUUUUGUAUUGAAGGGUCAAAAUGGGUUUGUGUCAUGAACAUAGGCCAGUCAUAAAGUCACAAUGAGUUAUUACAUUUCAUGAAGCAUUCUCGACAUAAAUUGUUUGAUAUAACGAUUUGAUGAUACGUGUUCUUACCUAGAUAACGUACUCCUGGAUUAUAGCACGAACAUUUUUCAAAUGUAAAAGGAAAAGGUUAACUCAGAAUCUGUUUUUUGUAUUGUAGUUUUUUGAGUCUGUGUUAGUGCUUUGAAAAGUCUUAUAUAGAAUUAUAUAUUUAUAAUUUGUUCUAGACAUGCUAGAGCACACUCAACAUACUGUAAACGCACUUAAAAUCGUGGGUAUCAGUGUUCGUGGUUUGAGCAACAUUUACAUGUUCAUGGGGUGUUAAAUUAGUGAAUUAUAGUUUCUAUCAUAGCAUAUCAAUACCGGAAGUCUGACUUUCAUUGAUCACAAAUAUUUAUUUUUUUUUAUGAACACAAAUAUUUUUUUAUGAACAUCAACAGAUCAAAAGUUGUUCUGUUUAGGUUUUUAAAGAUUAAAUGGGUAUAUAGUGCGUUUGCCCUGUCAAGGUGGGUAUAGUUGUCCUGCGAGAGAACGUUCUGUGCUGGUGAUUCGGUCCUGACGGGUGCUGGUGAUUAAUGAAAAAAAUGUAAACAAAGACGAAAAUGAUGAUUUUUGACGUUUUCACUCAUAAAAAAUGGAAGAAAACAGUUGAGAUUUUUCAAUUUUGUUUCUUAUGGGUUCCUAUAUAAACCAUUAAAAAGUUGACCCUCUAAACUGUUUCAGUAAGCGUAACACAAAAAUGCUCAUUUUCAGAAAAUCUCGAACUGAAAAAAAAAAUAAACAAAAAUGCUCAUAGAGUCCGCUUUCUAUACCGCAAUCCACACGACAAAACUAUUUUGUGAAAAAACAUUGCAAUUUAUUAAAAUUUAGCAUUUUCUCAAUUUAUAUUCAUGUCCUGAUACUGUGCUGGUGGGUCCUGUCAUUGUGCUGGUGGGUCCUGAUACGGUGCUGGUGAUUUUGGAUAAGAAGUUGGUCAUAUUUGAAACAAAUGUUACAAAAUCAAUAAAAUUGGGCAGAUAAUUGUUGUCAAUAGGAUCUAUGACUCCUAUUUUAGCUUGUGUGCAUCCAUUUGGCUGUUUAAUAUAUGUUUUCAAAUGAUCGUAACUUGUAUUACAUAAUUACAUAAAAGGGCAACAUCUUUCGUCCAAUAUCAGAUAACAAUAUAUAGUAUCUAAAAUAAGAAUAGUUUUAUUAAGAUAUUAAAUGCCCCUUACAUUGAUGCUUCAACAAUGAUCAAAGCCCAUGCCGCAUAGACAUGUUUGUUAGCGCUCCGCAUACCCCUCCCCACUUCUACCCAACCAACCCUUCUCAUUUCCUCCUUCAUUGUUACAGUGGUGUACUAACACAACAAUUUAUCACAUAAAAUAAUAACACAAAGACACACAUUAUUGAACAACGAAUGCUCGCAGGUACUGAAAGCUAGUUCAAAGCCGCAUUUCAACACAAUGAAUUGAACACAUAUCUAAAAUAUUUCCGACCAACUGACUAUAUGAUAUAUGUACAUUUAAUUUGUCUCAUAAUAUUGUUUCUCUUAGGAGAAAUAUAUAGAAGCGUAAGAUACAUGUGCUAGAAUGUUUGUAUUACUUAUCAUAGUCUAGUAGUUACAUAGUGAUCUGAGUGUUAACGUCUUUGCUUUAUGAUUCUAGUAGUGAACAUUUAUGCCCAAUAAUAUAUUGGUUCGAGAGUGAUCUAUGUGCCAUCUCGUACAGUUGUUCGCUGUAGAGAGUAAUUGGUCUACCUGUCAUAAGCCUGUCAUACCGUGAGAGGAGCAGUGUGUAUCACAGCGCAAGAUGCCAGACUUUCGGUUUUUGCAAGCGUUGAUACGUUUUGUUUUAAAUAUACUUGUGUAUAUUCAAGUUAAGAUAAGUAGACAUACAGACGUGCGAGAGCGUAGGUAUUAUACUUGUAUUCUUUAAACUAUUAAUAAAUGAUAUUUCUUGUGUAACCAGAGAAUAAUUUCUUGAGUGAAUGAAACGUGAAAGUGGUAUAUACAAUUUAAUAAUUUAAAAUAAAUUUAGUACUAGUAUUAUAGAUUUUGUGUGGCGCGAGGCAUCCGUGUUAUUCGUUAUAUUCUGAUUCUAUGAAAUUUUUCUGAAAUGUGCAAGUAUUACAGUGUACCAUGCUAAAGUAUAGAUCUUGCUAUUUUGAUAUAUACAAAUCCUUGCUAUUUUGCUGCAUAGCUCUUUAUAUGACAGUAACUAUAUUGACUUAUAUUUAAGACGUGUCCUAGAUCUCACUAUGUGAGCAUGGAAGACAUAAGAUAGUGGCCAUAUAUGUAUCUUUUGGUUUUGAUCCUAUAGCAACUUGCUGAACAGAAAAGUACAUGUUAUAUGAGGUUAUUGUGCGAGUUUAUAUACCUAACUCCCUAUCGUGUUAAGAGCACUUAAUACACGUCAAAAAUAGAGCACGAGUACUGUCUCUAUGUCUUUGGAGCAUCUCUCAGUGACACUACAUAUCGAUAAGUUGGAGUGAGUAGUUAGAUAUAGCCAUUGUGACACCUAUUACAAAUAAUGACAUAUCUCAAGGUGUUAUACAAAACAAGCAUAGUGAACUAACCAAGAGAAUUAUUCAUGGGUGGAAUAUAUGAUUAGAUAUUAUGUCCCUUAUUGUUUAACACUUAUACCUAUUGACUCAAAACAUGUGAAUCGUCAUGGAUAAACUACAUAAAUAUACGGUCAGUUACGUUUUAUUACAUUUCCAUAUCUAGUUGGUUCUAAUGCUUGUCUUUACUAGCGAUGAUCCAGAUAAUUGUGGCCUUGAUCGAACUCUCCUGUUAAUCAUAUAUUGGAUACAUAUAUGGUCAAGAAUUUCUCUCCUAAGACAGAAAGAUAAUACUUGGUUGAGUUAAUUUCCUAGGACUCGACCUUGUAUGACUAUAUAUAUAUGUGAUUUUCGAUACAUACACACCCUCUGAAUAUUCAAGUAGAGUAGCUGUAUAUAUAGACGACCUCAUUUAUAUGCUUCUCGGAGGUGUCGGGCUGGUGAGUAGCUCUUAGCAAGAGUUGAGAUAUUUAUGUCUAGACUUCGUUGUUUGUGUAUAUUUUUGGGUGAUAUGAUUUUAUACAUAAACGUGUGAGGGCACAGACAAUUAAGAAAAUGUCAUUUCUCGUGCGACUUACUAGAUAAGACAAAGACUUCUUUCAUUUACUACCAGUUAAAGCAGAAAGAGGAGUGAACUGAUUUAUAGUGUUUAAACACUCUAAAUUUAUUCUACAUAGUAUAGAUGGAAAUCAAUAUUAUUGUCAUUGAAUACUAUUUCGUAAUACCCUACUAGUCCACAUAUUGGUGAGGGACGGGGAUGGAGUUUGUGUUAUUUAUUAUAUAUUGGGGAGAUCGACAGUGGGGUAUGAGUUCUAAGUCUAUUGCAUGGUCCUGCUGUAGACCCUGGAUAAAAUCUAUAAAUGGACCUACUCUUUUUAUCUCCGAUACCUACUGCGCAGACAAAUGGAAUUGCCCUUAAACUGAUUCACAAGAACUGACAAAUUGUAUUACUACCUGAGAGCACGUUCCAUACAACAUAUAUAUGGCAGCGGCUAUUACGAUUCGUUGACUGAGUCGAGUCUGUUACACUUCCCAUCCUUAUCCAACGCACAAUAUUCUCUGCUCAAGGAUAAAAUAGUGAAUACUUAAUACCUAAUUUACAUCUUCUGAACUACUCUCGACCCGCAUGCGGGCUGCGAUGUGCAUAUUUUUAUAAGUUUGUGGUGAGAAGUGUUCUUUGAGAGAGACCAUCGGUGGCAGAAGUUACAGCAGAGCACGAGCUAUACGCAUAUGAUAACAAUAUACAAGGCGUAGUUUAAUGAUUGACAUUGUAUAUCAUAGGUCUCUCUUGCUAAACUGACGUAUCUCUGAAGACACCUGUGUGACAUAACUCUGAAAUAGCAAUGAGUGUUUUGUGUAAUAUCUGUGCUUUUAUUAACUCCCUUUUCUCAGUGAUAUCUUAUAUAUAUUAAUAUUGCGAUUUACAUGCAAUAAGCCAAAAUAUUGUCAAUAAUAAUAAAAUACUCAGUCGUUAAAGACUUACAGUUCUCAUAUAGAGGUAACAAUCAUAAGAAAACUCGAGAGUCGACAGAAAACAUGAUGAGUGAAAUGAUGUACAAUAAUACAUAUUGGAUAGCGAGAUCAAUUCUCCACCAGAUAAGAUGUAGAUGUGCUGUUGCUGACCGAUACUAUAAAUAUCUUAAAACGUCUUAUUGUGAUACUAUUAAGUCCAUAUAUCAACAACUAAUAACAAGUGUUAAGAUUUACAUAUAGAAGUUGAGAGACUUUUUACCACUAACAUUACAUAUACAAUUAGUGCACAAUUAAUUCUAAAAUAGUGAUAACAAAACAGACACUAAUGAAUAUUUCUAUAUAUCGAUAAAAAUAUAUAUAGAUCUCCUCAGAAAUAAUUACAGAGGCAACUUACGUAAGCUGGUAAGGGACGCCAGCAAUAUUUGCUUCUCAUCGUCAUACGCGUCCUCAACGCUAUGUAACCAUCAAUUUAUAAUCAAACAAGCGUUAAAAGGUAUAUUAUAUUUUACUCUUACUGAGAGAUUCAUCAAAUAGUGAUAGAUAAUAAGCUGAAAGAACAUCUUGUUUUGAGUUAGUGUAUGUUCUCUAGGGUUCAUGAGACUACAUGUGCAGUAUCCCUUAAGUUACAUCAUAGACUCUAACUAAAUACCAUAAGUGUUCUGCCCUAUAUCUUCAUCAAUAAAUAGUGAAUUUUUUAUAAUUAGCGUACUAUAUUCUCUGAAAAUAGACUUAUAAUCUCACUGUAUAUAAUCUCCAAAUUCAGACAAAAAAAUAAUACUGUAUGAAAAAAUCUGUACAGAAUAGCGUGAUCUUAUGCUAGCUGUGACUUUAUAUCUAUAUAUAGUGAGGCGAUAUAUCGUGUUAAAAUAUGCAACUGUUUACGAAGAAAUCUCGUGUGUCACGAAUACAUCCAUCUUAUCGACUUAAUAAGACUUUCCCACAGAUAUAACACUCGUCUCUAUUCUAUACCUAUCCCCACAUAUCCCAUCUCGCCCGUAUCACGUAUAAUUAAUAAAUUAUCCACCCCAACAAGAAACCAAACCCAGCAAUUAUUCUUUUUUUGGCUAGAUACUUAAUGUAGGUCCGCACUUCGAGAAUUACAUUCACAUACAAUACUAUGUUUUACACUAAAGACAAAAUUGAUCCCCAUCACGCUUCCGACCUUCGUCCUCUGUCUCCUAUUUCUGCUCUCACUCUUUUAUGCAAAACCUUUACAUCUUCUAUUUAUGGUCAUUGCGUUGCAGGGUCGUCGUGACGACGUUUAUGUUGUUAACACAUACUUCCUUUGGUUCUUAAUGGAAAAAUCUUUGUCCCUCAUCUCACAACAAACAUACCACCCCUAGCAACUAUACAUUUCAAAUGGUUCGUCCCCUUAUAUUAUAAGGAUUGAGUGGAGUUAUAAAUUACAACGAUAUUUUGUGUUGCGCUGUCUUAAAAUUAUUCAUUAAUCCCGAUGCAACUCUGAUAAACAUAUUCUUAAUCUUUAAUAAUGGGAACUAAAGAAAAGUGCGAGUGAGCUUCUCUAAUUACGAGCUAAAACCUAAUCUUUAUUCCACUUCAUUAUGAGUUGAAACACAUACAUGAAUCAUAAAAUGUGAAGAGGAUAAGUUGUGGUGCCUAUUUGUGUAUUCGUGCGUCAUAAUAUAUACUCAGUAAACAGAUUACUACAACUCUCAUGUUCUGAACACUUCAUAGAAUUCUCUAGAAGACAAACAGUUAUAAUCACUACACAUAAUGAUAACAUGUACCACUAGAGCAAUCCAAAUAGAUAUACUUCGAGAAUGCAUUAUAGCCUAGCCGUUUAAACGUAAUAUAACAUAAUGACGCAGGUUCUACUAGUUAACACCAGCUGACAUAAGAGUAGACCAACAAGACUACGACUCCAUCUUUCUUAUUCUUAAUCAAUAGCACAGCGACGACUGAGACGUUACAUGGACAUAUAUCCAGUGGUUUGUGAUACGAGACUUGUCACGUACUUUUAACCAAAUAUUGAAAUAUUGUUGUAAUAUCUUUGCAGAUACUUAUGACGCAUAGAGAAAAAUAGCUAACAAACAGUCGUUUUUUGCCGUUCUGAUACAAAGAAACAAACCACCAGACAGAAUCAGGACCCACCAGCACAUGACAGAACUCAAAUUACACACAGCAACAGAAACGUUCCUCUCGCAGAACAAACCAAAUAUGCACCACGCGUCUGCCUAUGUUGGACUGUACCUAUUAUUUCUCUUACAUCAUAUCAGCAGUCAAAACCUUUGUGGUGUGUAUCUUUCCAUAUCUUGAUUUUAGACAUACGAUACGUUUUGGUCGUUUCGCUCUAAUUAAGAAUGCGACUCAUAGAUAGACUGUUCACUUCAUCACAAAAACCACGAUAAAUUGCGUUCCCCCACGACUAUUUAAAUUCGUACUGUUCCCAUUCUACUAUUUAAUUAUAUUAUCUCAAAUAUGUAGUUACGUAGUUAUUUUUAAUGAGUCGUCUCUAUGUAUGAUAUAAGCAGACAUGCGUCCUUACGUGAAAAUCAAUUACAUAUGUCAAGGUAGGCUGUCAUACAUACAAACAUAUCUAUUAGAUAUCAAAUAUCACAACGAACUCUGCAUUGGACUCUUGAGCCCAUGAGUCCUUUUAAAUUUUCAAGACAUUUAAAAUCAUAAUCGAGGUAUCCAAUAGAAUACAAUUACUAAAACUUCUUUAACACCUCAUAUAAUCUAUUCUAAAUUACUUGUAUUCGGUUUCGGACUUUAUUUUGUUUCGUGUGAAACAUGAAAAAGAGAGUAAGAUAUGUAAUCUCUCGUAUUGUCAGCAUAUAUCUACACAUGUAUACAUAUAUCUUAUUAUCUGUAGUUGAAACGAUCUACCCAAAGUUUCUUUGUGGUCUGAUUAAAAUGUAGAACAAUUCGAAUCGUCUGGUGACGUUAUGUAGACUGUAUAUAUAUAUCGCGCGUUGCUCCUGGGUGAUGUAAUCGCCUCCACUGCUCAUAAUUAAGAGUGCUACCAGUAUAAGAUCUCCUAUUGGCUACUCCUAAGUGUCUGAAAUAAUGGUGUGAGACUUAAGAUAUAAGUGAUAUUUGGUAAGUCUAUCAGGAAUUUAUACAGAGCGAGUACAAAAUAUGCGAAUAAGCGUAAGUGUUUAUAUAAAAAUCGCGUGAUACAACCAAUGAUUUCUACAUAGAUAAAUAUCAUUGCGAGUCUUAUUUUGAACGUAAUUAUUGUAGAUUACAGUUAUACCCGCACAGAUACAUGCCAGCGUGUAGUUUUAUUGUGACCUCACUGUCCUUAAGAAUUAUAUCUUUGAAUAUUUAAUAAUAGUUCCAGCGUGUGAGUGCCUUAUCUGAGGAUACAGCGAUUAACUCUAACUUGUGAUCAAAUGUCUCUUUCUUCUGUGUGGUAUUAUAUCUACGGUUGUAUUAGUUUAACUUUAAAUAUGAUAUAAAUUAGAUAUAAAAAUCACUUUACAUAUAUAUUAGAGUGCUAUAUUAAGUUAUUUAUAUAUAUAUAUAUCUCGUAUCUCUAUUAACAUGCCCGAUAAUAGUAUUAUUUAUAUUGGUUCAACCUCGGGAGGGGGCUAAAUAAUUGAUAGCAAGUUGAAUAGUUUAAAGGGUCUAAUUAUUAUUUUGUCUAUAUACAUAUAUAGAACAGUGAUCACAACUAUUAAUUUGUCUCUCUUAGCCGAAUUAGAACAUUUAUUAACAAUACUUAUUGUAAUAUUCGUAUAUAUAGGACACUCGUACAGGAUUGGCGAGUAAGUUAGUUGAGUUAGUUAUCAAUACCAAAACCGUAGUAUCGCGAGUUUUGGGUGUCUUCACCGGACUGAAUAAUGGGUGGCUGGAUGUGGAUAUUUAUGAAACUUUUAGAUACGCUGUAUAACUAUAUGAGAUUAUCAUUUUUUUUCGAACAGAAACUAAGCGAGUGCGCAGUAUCUUGCGCCAAGUCAAAUCAAAAAUCAAGAAUUACAUCUAUCGAUACAAAAGAUGAGUCAGUGUUAAAAAUGUAGUACAAUUCAAAUCAUCAAAUGCGCUGUUUCCUUGUUGUGUUUUCUAUUUACAACAUACUGGAUAAUCUCUAGUAAUCUGAAUUAUAUUACCCGACUAACAUACACAUAUGUCAAGGGCUGUCAUACAUACAAAGUCAUAAUAUCAAAAGAAGAAAGGUUGCAUUGACUUUUACCAUGUCCUUUUAAAAGAUUUAAAAUACAAACCAUGAUAUUACUAACUUUUUAACCAACUCUUUACAGGAUCGUUACUAUUAAAACUAAAAUAAAACUAGAAAUACAACUAAAUCGAUAAACUACCAAGUGGCAUAUAUGUAUGUAGACGAAACGCGCGUCUGGCGUACUAAAUUAUAAUCCUGGUACUUUUGAUAACUAUAUAUAAUCAUCAGGAAAAGAACACAAACAAAGGUUAAAAAACUGGAAACAAUUCUUAAAUAUCAUUUGAACUAUAUGAAAGACGUUGAUUUGAUUAUUUUGAUUGUUUCUUGCUGGGUACUCUGACAUCUUUUUAUAUAUCAGUGUUGUCUUAUGAUACUUUGAAUAUAGAGUAUAGUGCCCCGUAGAACUUCACAUCUCGGGAGGGGGGUAUAGCUGUUUUAUUGUCAUAAAAACGUGAUCCAAGUAUUUCUAAAAGUUUAUUAACAUAGACCAUUCAUAAUAAAAACAGGAUGCAAUUGUCUGGAUGUGAUUUAUAACUUAGAUACGCUAUAAUAAUAAAUUUAGAAGAAAUAACAUGGUUGCCGUCAUUAACUAUUCGUACGUGAAGUGUAUGAUCCCAAUAAUGCAUGGAUAAUAAAAGAUUUGAUCUAUUACAGGGUCUUAAAUGGAUAUCAUUGAUUAUUCUUCUUGGGACACUCUUUUUUAACCUCUUGGUGGUGGUGCUUUUGAUUUCAAGAAAUCAUAAAUCAAGAAUGCGAUUCUUCGUCAUUAACCUCGCUAUUGCAGGUAAGGAUUGUAUAUUAACUACCAUAGAGCAACUCAGAUUCUUUGAAUUCCAAAAAUAUGGCUAAGGUAAGCUAUGCCUGGAAUAAGACAAUCCUUAGUAUUUGGGAAAAAACAUACUUUUGUAAACAGAAAAUUUAUAAAAAUUAGUAAAUAAUUUAUAUUUAUGUCAAUACCAGAAUAUCUUUGUGAACUAAACGUGUAAUCUAUCUGAAACUGUGAAUUUAAUGUUCAAAUUCAAGGAUAAUUCUUUUGAUCUGGUUUUUAGAAAUAUUUUGAUUAAAUGCUUUUAAACAUAUUUAACUUCCUACUUGUAUUUUUGUGUUCAAAUCAAAGUAUAUAUUUAUCAGAAAUAUUUGAAAUCGUAUUUCGGUUGACUUAUCAUAAAGUAGAAACAUAUAUAUUUAUUUUUACGUUUUCUUCAUAAUCGAAAUAUACUACGUCAGAAAUUACAGAUAAUGUAUCAAACAGCUUUCUAAAGUGCAAAUGCAAUUACAGUUGUCAAUAUAUAUCAUGUUAUUUGUCAUGACUGCCAAGAAAAACAUCCAUUUAACAAAAAAUCACUGAGAACUACUUUAUAGUUAUCUGAUUUGACAAUGAGAUCUUGUGUUUGUCUGAUACAUAGAAAGUAGCUAUAACAUACCUAUAUACUGUAUUGUAUACAUAUUAAAGAUGCUAUUAAAUAUAUUCGGGCAAACAGAACUUCAUUUAUGUAAUUUAUUGAAUUGAUAUAUUAAUUUAGUUAGUGAACUGUUAUGUUAAUCAUUCUAAUUUAUUUCCGAAAACAAACUAAUUCCAAUGCUUAUAAAUCAUUUGUAAAUGUUUGUUUUGACAGUUCCUCAAUUCCAUUAAGUAUGUUUAAGACAGUAUCUAAAAAGACAAAAAGUGGGGGAAAGCAAACAACAGAAAGUGGUAGAAACUUAAAAAAAUAGUUAAAAUUUCCAUAACUAUGAGUUUUUAAUUUCAUUGUCACAGGCUUUGGUCCCUCUUAAAUUAAUUUUGACGUUAGAAUGUGUAUGUUCCGUCUGAAGGGCAUCACUGUAACUUUGAGAUGAAACACUGCAGACGAAGCGCUGUUAUUUUGCUUUUUUUGUGUUUUUUUUUUUUUUUUUUGAUUUUUAAAAAUGUACAUGUACUAAUUUGGUGUCAUAAUUGUAUACUCCAUAUCCAAUCAUCAAGUACAAAUUCCACAAUUGUUCAGUUUCACUAAACCGAUUAUUUUGUUUAAGAUAAAUGAAAACGCUCAGAUGUGCAACAAAUAAAAAAAAUAAGACCAAUAAACAAUUAGAAGUUACUUGAUUGGUUUAUUAACUUGUACUAGUUUGUACAUUUUCAAUGCUAAUUCAUGUUGUUAAUCACAGUUUCCCUCUAUCUUUUAUAGUAUCUGAUAUAAAAGAUCUUUUUUUCUAUUUUAUCCUGCAGUUAUAAUAUUAUACAUGGCAUUUAAUAUCAGUGAUUUAAGCAAAUACUACUCAUAAUUUGAAUACCAGGCUAUUUAAGAAUUACUCACACACUCCAUUUGUCAAUUGACAUUGCUUCUAGGUUAACGCUAAUUUUUCACGCCGUCUCUUUAGUCAACAUUUGUCGACGUAAAAGGACAAAUAAAUCCUACGGAGAAACCCAUUACCAAAACACGCGAAAUAAUAAAUUGAAAACCAUGAAUCUCAUAAAACCAUUUUAAAUAUAGGUGUCAUGAAAGGGUUAAACAGUAAAUAAUCACUACGAAUAUCAAUAUAUUGAAAUCACGCGCGAGCAAUCACAACUGAAUGUAAGAACACCAAUUCACAAAGAGAGAAACAUUUUUAUACUAAUACAAACACAACACAAGAUGAAUGUAAAAACUGCAUGGUAUAUAUUUUGUAUUUUCAGAUUUUUGUGUAGGAGUAUUUUUUGUACUACCUGAAACCCUAUUUAAUUGGUUUGAUGUUCCAUGGAAUCUCUAUGUGUGCUAUAUUUACUAUGUGUAUUUCUCAAUGGUUCCUUUUUAUGUGUCAACAUAUGCAAUUGUUGUUUUGUCAAUUGAUCGUGCAUACGUUAUUGUAAGACCAUUAGCAGCUGCUUCGAAAGGCAAACGUUACCGUUAUGGACUGGCAUUGUCAUCAUGGGUUAUUGGAUGUAUCCUUGCAAUUCCAUACGGUGUGUUUGGUAAAUACAGUGAAGAGGAGGUCUAUUGUAUGCAUGAUUCACCAAGUGUAGUAAGUGUUUUUUAUACAAAUUGAUACUCAAACGUGACUCAAACAAAUUAACUACAUUUCACAAAUUAAGAAAGUAACGAAUGAAAACAAUACGUGAACAAAUCAAGAAAUUGGGUUAAACAUUACAACUUUACAUUUCACAAAUCAAGAAAUGUAGAAACUCAUGUAACGGAUGGAAAAAAAAUACAUGUAACAAAUUAAGAAAUAACAUUUUACAAAUUAAGCAAUUACAUGUUACGAAUUAAGAAAUUGUAUUUCACAAAUUAAGAAUUGAAUGAUUAUGGCGGAUAUUCCCUUCCAAACGUAACAGCCACAUUUAUAUAACAAUAUAUUGUAGUUAAGCGUAAUGAUAAUGGCAAAGUAAUGUAUCAUAUUUUUCACAACAUAUACAUUCGAUUGAUAACGAAAUGUAAAAUGAUUGAAAAUUUGAACAACUUUCAAACAGACCAAUGGGACCAAUUAUGUGAAACUGUACAGCCUUCCAGAUUUAUGAAUACACCCCACAUGCUAUUGCAAAAGUUAACAUACACUAAAUGAAUCAACUUUAUCUAUGACACAAUAUUGAUGAAUUGUGCUAUAUGGACACUAUCAAUGAAAAAGGGGAAUGCAAAAAAUUGUCAGACUUACAACAAAAACCAGGAGCAAAAUGGCUUUAAAUAAAAUAGUGUUCAAAAGUUUGAUUUCGAUAUACUUAUUUUGUUGAUAGGACAAGGGAAACAGUUGUUACAAAAUAAAUAAACUUCUUAUCUAUGGUAAGGGAACAAAAGUUUAAAAGAUGGUACAAUAACACAAUAAUGACACUGAAUAAUUUGACUUUGAAUAACACAAAUGCAUACAACAGCUCAAACUAACAGUACAAUUUGAUAGCAUACUCAGUUAUCCAAAACUAGAUAAAAGCCAAACACAAUUAACAGAUCAAUAACCAUGUAUCAAAAGUGCAUAUUUCUGCUGUUGUUUGUUAUAUGGUCGGGUUGUUAUCUCUUUGACACAUUUUCAAUUUUAUUUAUAAAAAAUUGUUCUCAACAUAACAUGCCCUACCAUAGUAUUGUAUUUAAUUCAUUCUUUCAGUGUAUGUUCAGUUGUAUCAAUAUGUCUGUUGAUUAAGUUAAGCCAUUUCAAUUGAUAGUUAAUAGUGUGUCUUUCUAAGUUGUGAUGUUACACUAUUGUUUCAGAUAAAGGUUAGGAUUGGUACCUAUAAACAAGUUUGAAACCGGUGCAUUUGUUUGCACCUGUUCUAAAUGAAAGCAACAGUAGUAUACCGCUGUUCAAAACUCUUAAAUCUAUGGACAAAAAACAAAAUCGGGGUAACAAACCAAAACUGAGGGAAACGCAUUAAAUAUAAGAGGAGAACAACGACACAACAUCAAAAUGUAACACACACAGAAACGGACUUAGCAUUAAACAAAAUCCGAUGAGAAUAACAAAUAUAACAUCAAAACCAAAUACAUAAAUUUGGGAUAUAAAAGUACCGUGACACGUCUCAUAAUAAUGUGAAUUCACACUAAAAUGUAAGAGAAAACAUACGACACAACGUAAAAAUGUUCCACACACAGAAACGAACUAUGAUAUAACAAUGGCCAUUUUCCUGACUUGGUAUAGGACAUUUAAAAAAAAUGGUGGGUUGAACCUUGAUUUGACAUGCCAAACCUCGCACUUUUAUGGCAAUGCUAAAUAUAACAUUAAAAUGACAACAUAUUAUUACAGGACUAUAAUACAAAUAAAUAGGAGAACGAAUUAGAGAAAGAAACACAUGAAUAAUAGAUAACAAAAGGCAUCAGGUUAAAAAUACAAUACACAAAAAACACGCCUCGUUCACACAAGACUUACCAGUGACGCCCAGAUAUAAAAGUUCGAAAGUAAAAAAAAUGUUCAAAAUUGUACAGCACUGAGGAUCAAAAGUUGAAAAAGGUUGUGCCAAAUACGGCUAGGGUUUUCUGCUUGUGAUAAGAACAUCCUUAUUAUUUAGAAUAAUUUAUGCUAUUGCAAACAGUAAAUUUGAUCAAAUGAAUAUAAAAGAUAUACGUGAUUAAACUGAAGUCUUAACUAAUUACAGAAAAAAAACCGGAAUACAUAAUACAAAGACCACAAAAUACGGAAAAAAGACACACCCGACUUAGUCCAGGCCUCAACACAAAAAGUCAUAAAAAUGUCACAUACGAAGUGGUGAAAAGGCACAAAAAAUACGUCACAUUUGAAUUUCUGAAAGAGCACAAAAAUGACGUCACAUUUGAAAAACUAUAUCUCAAAAAUAACAUAAAAUUAAGAUUGAUUUAAGAUUAUAAUACAACACUAAAUACUGAUAUUACAUUUAAAUACAAUGCACAUUGCAAUACUUAUUAAUAGCAAUUAACUAUAUAUAUAAUAUAUUAUAUGUCCGGUUUGUUUUGAAUCUAACUUCAAACGUAAAACAUCGUUCAGAUUACGUUGAACAAAAUCAAAUCUAAUUAAUGAAGGCGGUGAUAAUUUUUUUUACCAUAACACAUGAAUAUAAUAGAAAAGACGUCAACAAAUUUGACAAAAUCUGAUGAGAAUUACAAAUAUAACAUCAAACUAAAUACAUAAAUUUGGGAUAGAUAAGUACCGUACUUAUAGUAAUGCGACUUCACACUCAGCAAAACAGUCACAAUCGGGAAUAAGUCACGUUCGGUAAUUAAAAGAUUAGACGACGUAAUGACAAGUCAUGAAUAUGAUGUUCGUCAGUUGUCGUUUGUUGAAGAGUUCAUUAGUGUUUCCCGUUGUUGAUAUAGAUUAGACCGUUGGUUUGCCUGUUUGAAUGGUUUAAUUCUAGUUAUAUUUAGGCACUUUAUAGCUUCAUGUUUGGUGAGAGCCAAUGUUCUGUGUUGAAGACUGUACUUUGUCAUAUAAUGCCAUACUUUAAAUAAGUUUUUUUUUUUACUAGGAUGGAUAGUUGUCUUAUUGGAACUCAUACCAUAUCUUCUUACACCUGUUUUGUUAUUAUUUGAUAUUGCAAUACGGAGAUUUUAUUAUUUCUUGUAGGUACCGUGCUUGUUUUGUUAUGUAAUGUAGGCAUUGACAUAAUCUGCUUGUUUAUUUGUUGUAGGUGUUCCUAUACGUAGAUCUUACCACUAUUAUCAUACUACCAAUCGUAAUCAUAACAGUGUGCUACAUUGUCAUCAUUUUUACUAUACGUGGUCGGGAAAGAAAUGGAUUCUUACGUGGUAAAAACAAUGAUGCAGGUACAUAUUGUCAAUUUCAUUAGUUAUCAAAGGUACAAGGCUUAUAAUUUAAUACGACAGACGCGUUUUUCGUUCACCAAAGAUUCAUCAGUGACGCUCGAAUCAAACUAGUCAGAAAGUUAAAAAAGUUUAAAAAGUAUUGCGGACCCAAAAUCUAAAAAGUCGUGCCAAAUACAGCUUAGGUAAUAUAUGCAUGGGAUAAGAAAAUCCUUGGAAGAAUUCAUACUUUUGUAAACAGGAAAUCUAUUUAUUCUAAAUUUGAUGUUUCACGUUUAUGUCUUAUUUUUUCCGAGUAUUCAGGAUCAAGCGAACCCGAUCAAACUCAUACCUUAUAAAAAUACACAUCAAAAUACAUAUGCUCUCAGACUGAAUACGAAUUCAUAACUUUAUUUGUUUUUUUUUGUUCUGAAUUUGAGAAUACACUCCACAAUUGAUUUAACAAAGAAGGAUGUGAUUCUAAAAUUAUAAAGAGAAAAAGCAAAUGAAAAAUGGUUUUUAGAAUAUGUAAUCAUUCAUUAUAGAUAAUGGUUGUGAUACAAAUGUAAGAAAAAGAAGCAUCUCAAAGGCAAAGAUCAGGACCAUCAAACUACUUUGUGUUGUUGUAUUUGGUAUGAAUUUUUUUUUUGCAUCCUUUUUUUGCAUUAUGUAUACACGACGGUGGCAACUCAUAAAUCUAAAAAUAAAUUAUUUUAAUUUGCAAUAUGUAUCUUUUAUCAUUUAUGAGUUGCAACCAAUACUGGUGUCGCCUAGGCAUUAGUUAGAAAUUAUAUUUAUUUGUUUUUAAAUGAAAAAUUGCUUAUGGAAAUUUCCAUUAUUUUGAGGGGGAGUUAUCUGAAGUACAAUUACUAUAAUUACACUUGUAAACAUGCAUGCUUUAGGUUUGGUAUUGUUUGUUUCAGGAAAUAACGACAUACAAUGUACAAUGUUGUGAUGUGGGAUCAUUCGUUAAGCAUACUGUUUGGUUUCUACAAUAUUGAUAUCCUUGAAAAUGUGUUAUUAUUAAGAUAAACUGUAUAAUGACUGAUCCCGUCUAUUAUUCCUUUUUCACCUCAACAAAUCCAGAACAUUACAAAUGUCUGCUCUUUUCUGUUUAAGUCCAUGUGCUUUAUAUAAACUUUUUUAGAAAUGCAUUCAAAAGUCAGUAUUUCACAAAAAAUAUACAAGAACAAAUAUGUAUAUCAAAUAGCAACAAUAUAACUAUAUUUUUUUUCUAUAUUGCCAGAACAAGUGUCUAUAGAAAUUACAAUAAAUACAAGAGACGACUUCAAACUUUAAGCUUGAGAAAACUACCUGAGUAUACAUGUACCUUGGUCAUCAAUGUUAAUCACAAAAAAACUAUAUUCUACGCGAGUUUCUGCUACAACAUGAAUAGUAAAAUGUCGACUACACGAAGAAAAAACAAAGCAUUUCUCAGUCGAAUAAAUAGAUGCGAUAGAUCAAAAGACUUGAGAUAAACAAAACAUAUGUACCUUUAUUGUGUAUACACAAGGCGACAAUACAUAAUAUACGACGUUGAACAAUGCAUACAUAUCGUAACUAGCUUUAAAUCAUUAGUCUAACAAACAAUUACAUUAAACCGUAUAAUAAAAUAACAUGAGCUAACAAACUGGUGCAAAACAUUUAUCCUCCUGCGAACUAUACUGUAUUUAUAUCUAUUUCUAAUACAAAAACUGCAUUUUUAAGUAUCAUGUAUCUGAUACAUAUGUAUAUAUGCAUGAAAAAAGCCUACUUAAUAUGACUUCAAUGAAUAAUAAUAUCAUUUCACAAAUAUUUUCACAGUAUACAUUAUUUGCUGGGCUCCAAUUACAAUCGCAGCAGUCAUAAUACACCAUGGAAUAGAAGAAUAUGGGCUUUGGUUUCACAUACUCUAUUUACUUGCUCCGGUUAACAGCCUGGCUAAUCCUUUAGUGUUUCUUAUUUUCAACCAGAAAAUGUUUCGUUCUAAGACGAAUAAGACGAAGAAAAAAGUAUUUAGUGAAACAACUUUUAAAACCGAAACAGAGACAUUAUAAUUGGGUAGCUUAAUUUAUUGUUUAUGCAUGAUUUCUUCAUAAACAGAUGAUCUGAUGGUGCAUUGUAUUAUCCAUGUGAAGAUUAUGAUAAAAAAAAAUAUGGCUUAUAGUUGUUUGAGCAUUUUUAAGUAGAUAGAUUCAUCAUAAAUACCAGGCUUAAGCUUUGUACGCGGGAGUACGAUUUGAUCAGGUAACCUAAAAAAAACUAGGAAAGAAGUUCAGGCCCAAGACCGGCGGACAGCAACGAUACAUUUACAAGAAUACUGUGGUGAAGUGAAUAACGCAUCGGACUACCAUCACAGAGGUUCCUAAUUCGAUUCCUGUUUCGGGUAGAAAAUUUUAGGGAUUUAACUUUCGGCUGACCAUUAACACCAUUUGCGAAUAUGGUCUUUAGAAACGAUGGAAAAUUGUCGGAAGUUGAUGAUAAAUGACUGGCUCAUGUUAGGAGAGAGCAAUAUAUAUUGCACAGAAAAGUCAACUGGAGAGAUUUCACAAAAGAGUAUGUUAAUGCUGCCACACGGCAGCAUUUGCAUCCGCAACGGUG
rnacentral:lncRNA from 1 species